rnacentral:lncRNA from 1 species
GUCCCUUCCACUGAGUCACAGGGCUGUUGUUUUCGGUACUGAGUUACCAAGGGCUUCUUCCUCCUUGUAGAUCUCCAUCAUGAAUCAGGCAGCUGUAACUCUGAGAUCUCUAGACUGCAUGGGUCCAGCAACCUUAGAACACAGAGCGAGAGAAGCCAGCAUCCAGAGAUGUGCAGGCAAGGAGCUGGAGUGUUGGGCAGGCAAGUCAGAAGCAGCAAUAACAGCAGGCCAGUAUGGACUGGGUACUGCAAGUGUGUGCACAUGCUUGGUUCUGGGCCAACCUCUUGAAACUCAGUAAAGAAUCUACUCAGAAGAGCCAUCCCAGCUACAGCAAAGACUUUGACAAUAAGAAACAACAGCUAGAGAAAUGUAAUGCCCA